UACAGAGGUGGCGAGCGUUAUUCGGAAUUAUUGGGCGUAAAGGGCGCGUAGGCGGCCCUGUAAGUCAACGGUGAAAUCCCUCGGCUCAACCGAGGACGUGCCGUUGAUACUGCAGGGCUCGAGGCCGGGAGAGGGUAGUGGAAUUCCCAGUGUAGCGGUGAAAUGCGUAGAUAUUGGGAGGAACACCGGUGGCGAAGGCGGCUACCUGGACCGGUUCUGACGCUGAGGCGCGAAAGCGUGGGGAGCGAACAGG
rnacentral:rRNA from 1 species